GUGCCAGCAGCCGCGGUAAUACGGAGGGUGCAAGCAUUAAUCGGAAUUAUUGGGCGUAAAGGGCGCGUAGGCGGGAUAGUAAGUCAGAUGUGAAAUCCCGGGGCUCAACCCCGGAACAGCAUUUGAAACUGCCGUUCUGGAGGAUAGGCGGAGAAAACGGAAUUCCACAAGUAGCGGUGAAAUGCGUAGAUAUGUGGAAGAACACCUGUGGCGAAAGCGGUUUUCUAGCUUAUACCUGACGCUGAGGCGCGAAAGCAAGGGGAUCAAACAGGAUUAGAAACCCUAGUAGUCC
rnacentral:rRNA from 1 species